CUCUUCUUGUAUUUUGAUUUGAAGUACGGCCUGCCCACUGAUGUUAUUGAAGGGCCGCGGUAUUUUGACCGUGCAAAGGUAGCAUAAUCAUUAGUUUUUUAAUUGUGAACUGGUAUGAAUGGUUUGACGAGGCAUAAUCUGUCUUUAAUUUGGAUUAUUAUUGAAUUUAUUUUUUGGGUAAAAAUGCUCAAAUUUUAUUAUGGGACGAGAAAACCCUAUAAAGUUUUAUAUAGAACAUUUAUGAAUAUUUGUUUUGUUGUGUUGGAAUGUGACUGGUAUUUUGUUGGGGUGAUGGGAAGGUAUAUUUAACUCUUCUUUUUUUUCUUUUCACUUAUUUGUGUUUUUGUGAUCCUUUAUUAUUGAUUAUAAAAUCAAAUUACCUUAAGGAUAACAGAGUAAA
rnacentral:rRNA from 1 species